UACGUAGGGGGCAAGCGUUGUCCGGAAUUAUUGGGCGUAAAGCGCGCGCAGGCGGUUCAUUAAGUUGGGUGUUUAAGCCCGGGGGCUCAACCCCGGUUCGCAUCCAAAACUGGUGGACUUGAGUGUAGGAGAGGAAAGUGGAAUUCCACGUGUAGCGGUGAAAUGCGUAGAGAUGUGGAGGAACACCAGUGGCGAAGGCGACUUUCUGGCCUAGUAACUGACGCUG
rnacentral:rRNA from 1 species